GAACGCUAGCGACAGGCUUAACACAUGCAAGUCGAGGGGCAGCACAGGUAGCAAUACCGGGUGGCGACCGGCGCACGGGUGAGUAACGCGUAUGCAACUUACCUAUCAGAGGGGGAUAACCCGGCGAGAGUCGGACUAAUACCGCAUGAAGCAGGGGCCCCGCAUGGGGAUAUUUGCUAAAGAUUCAUCGCUGAUAGAUAGGCAUGCGUUCCAUUAGGCAGUUGGCGGGGUAACGGCCCACCAAACCGACGAUGGAUAGGGGUUCUGAGAGGAAGGUCCCCCACAUUGGUACUGAGACACGGACCAAACUCCUACGGGAGGCAGCAGUGAGGAAUAUUGGUCAAUGGCCGAGAGGCUGAACCAGCCAAGUCGCGUGAGGGAUGAAGGUUCUAUGGAUCGUAAACCUCUUUUAUAAGGGAAUAAAGUGCGGGACGUGUCCCGUUUUGUAUGUACCUUAUGAAUAAGGAUCGGCUAACUCCGUGCCAGCAGCCGCGGUAAUACGGAGGAUCCGAGCGUUAUCCGGAUUUAUUGGGUUUAAAGGGUGCGUAGGCGGCCUUUUAAGUCAGCGGUGAAAGUCUGUGGCUCAACCAUAGAAUUGCCGUUGAAACUGGGGGGCUUGAGUAUGUUUGAGGCAGGCGGAAUGCGUGGUGUAGCGGUGAAAUGCAUAGAUAUCACGCAGAACCCCGAUUGCGAAGGCAGCCUGCCAAGCCAUGACUGACGCUGAUGCACGAAAGCGUGGGGAUCAAACAGGAUUAGAUACCCUGGUAGUCCACGCAGUAAACGAUGAUCACUAGCUGUUUGCGAUACACAGUAAGCGGCACAGCGAAAGCGUUAAGUGAUCCACCCUGGGGAGUACGCCGGCAACGGUGAAACUCAAAGGAAUUGACGGGGGCCCGCACAAGCGGAGGAACAUGUGGUUUAAUUCGAUGAUACGCGAGGAACCUUACCCGGGUUUGAACGCAUUCGGACCGAGGUGGAAACACCUUUUCUAGCAAUAGCCAUUUGCGAGGUGCUGCAUGGUUGUCGUCAGCUCGUGCCGUGAGGUGUCGGCUUAAGUGCCAUAACGAGCGCAACCCUUGCCACUAGUUACUAACAGGUGAUGCUGAGGACUUUGGUGGGACUGCCAGCGUAAGGUGCGAGGAGGGCGGGGAUGACGUCAAAUCAGCAUGGCCCUUACAUCCGGGGUGACACACGUGUUACAAUGGUGUGGACAAAGGGAGGCCACCUGGCGACAGGGAGCGAAUCCCCAAAGCGCGUAUCAGUUAGGAUUGGAGUAUGCAACCGGACUCUGUGAAGCUGGAUUCGCUAG
rnacentral:rRNA from 1 species